rnacentral:rRNA from 1 species
AUACGGAGGGUGCAAGCGUUACUCGGAAUCACUGGGCGUAAAGCGUGCGCAGGCGGCCAUUUAAGUUGGAUGUGAAAGCCUACGGCUCAACCGUAGAACUGCAUCCAAAACUAUUUGGCUAGAGUGUGGGAGAGGAAGAUGGAAUUAGUUGUGUAGGGGUAAAAUCCGUAGAGAUAACUAGGAAUACCAAAAGCGAAGGCAAUCUUCUGGAACAUUACUGACGCUGAGGCGCGAAAGCGUGGGGAGCAAACAGGAUUAGAAACCCUAGUAGUCC